rnacentral:rRNA from 1 species
AGGGGUUGCCAAGCCGCGAGGUGGAGCCAAUCCCUUAAAGCCGAUCGUAGUCCGGAUCGUAGUCUGCAACUCGACUACGUGAAGUCGGAAUCGCUAGUAAUCGCAGAUCAGCAUGCUGCGGUGAAUACGUUCCCGGGUCUU